rnacentral:rRNA from 1 species
UACAGAGGGUGCAAGCGUUAAUCGGAAUUACUGGGCGUAAAGCGUGCGCAGGCGGUUUUGUAAGUCAGAUGUGAAAUCCCCGGGCUUAACCUGGGAACUGCAUUGGUGACUGGCAGGCUUUGAGUGUGGCAGAGGGAGGUAGAAUUCCACGUGUAGCAGUGAAAUGCGUAGAGAUGUGGAGGAAUACCGAUGGCGAAGGCAGCCUCCUGGGCCAACACUGACGCUCAUGCACGAAAGCGUGGGGGAGCAAACAGG